rnacentral:rRNA from 1 species
UGCCAGCCGCCGCGGUAAUACGGAGGGUGCAAGCGUUGUUCGGAAUUAUUGGGCGUAAAGAGCAUGUAGGCGGACUGUUAAGUCUGAUGUGAAAGCCCGGGGCUCAACCCCGGAAGUGCAUUGGAUACUGGCAGUCUUGAGUAUGGGAGAGGAAAGUGGAAUUCCGAGUGUAGGAGUGAAAUCCGUAGAUAUUGUGAGGAACACUAGUGGCGAAGGCGAGAUGCUGGACGGUUAUUGACGCUCAGACACGAAGGCCAGGGUAGCGAAAGGGAUUAGAUA